UUUAUAAAAAUGGCGAAAUGUGUGAAGAGUUUUGUCAUCUUCUGUUUUCAAAUUUUCAUGUUUUACUGCACAAAAUCAACCAAUUAUUUACAUAAAAUGUACCUGCCAUCUAGUCAACAGAUUAAAUUUGGACCCCAUUUUAAAAACAAAUUGCUCAACACCUCUGUAACUCACACCCUCAGCUUCAUAUGCAUCAUCCUCUCACAUCUUAGUCAAAACUUCGAGCUGUUUUGCCCAAUAGUUGUGGCAUUGGAUGUGUGGUUACAGGUUCAUUCUUUCCUGAAAGAUGCUUCACCUUUGAACACUUUUGGUGGGGUGUCAUGAAAUUGUAUUGCUGCCAUUCCCUGCAGCUCCCACUUCAUAGCUACAAGAAAUGACUUAUAGGAAGCCUACAACAGAUUGAGGUGGUGUGGUAUGCCAUUGGAUUUCGCGAGUCAGCCGCCGAUGUCAAUCUACAACGCAGUUUAUUUAUUGAAAUUGUGUGGUCCUGGCACAGAGAUAGAUCCUUGAUGCUGGCCUUUGUCCUUGACAGAAGAGUGACUUCUACCAACUUUCUGCUCCAUCCUUAUCUUCUCUUCCCACACACAUCUAGCUUCUCUGCAUAUUAUGCUGCUAAACAAUUUGUCCUACUUCACUGACGAGUUAGACCACUCGCUUCCGUCCGCAGCGACAGACCUACUGUCACUCACCACGGAAUUAUGCCCAGAUGUCUCCCAUCAUGCGACCAGAGACACGAUCGCUGUGGGUCCCACUACAAGAACUUCAUGGCAGAUUACCGAGUCUUUCAACGCGGAUCAUCAUUUAUUGUUGGUAUAUAUGUCUUUGCUAGUUAACCCGUUGGCUGCCACGCCUUUG